AGAUGAAAUGUCAGUUUCAGUCACUGCUGGUUAUACUCCAAUGAAACUCCCUACUACAAUCUUUGAAAAACAAAUGGGAGGCCGGGGUGUAACAACAAAUGAAUUUGUCGUGCUCCACGGAGGAGCAGGGGGCGGAGUUACCGCAUAUCGUAGUACCCACAGAGGGGACGAGCUGGGCCCGGUCCAACCUCUCCAACACCCGGCCGCGCGUGGGAGCCAACAGUCCUAAUGCUGUAGUAACUCCUACUCAGUCACACAGGACACUUACUUGUACAUUUCUGUUUGGUUCAUGCAGCUGAUACAAUAUAGACUGACAUCUCCAGACCAAUUCGCAAAUGCGAAUCAUCUGCCAGAGCAAAUAAAACAUGACAUAAAACAGAUUCGUCUGGUUGCCAGUACAUGCAGUAGUGGGUUACUGGGAAAACUACAUCAGUCAGUCUACCUAACGAUCAUACUGGCCAAACAAUCUAAAUUAUUAAUAGCCAGCCUACAUUUGUUUUUAUUACUGUGCAACUUUAAAGCAAUUCUCUAGAAAGAAAUGUCCUUGUAUGGACAGCAGGGUUACUCAGUAUAAUGUAUGGAAGCAAAGUAAGGCCAUAAUACUUUAAAUUGAAACUGAAUACAUAAUACAAAAACAGAAUAAAUGUUCAACUAAACAUUUUCAUAAUCUUGAUUUUUGGUGUCUGAAUUUCCUCAAUCCAAUUGGAGCAACUUAAUUUUCUGACCUGACUUGAAUUUUUAGAUCCAAAAAAGACCAACUGAAUUUGAGCAACUCGAAUAUUGUUUUUGGAAUAUACUGGACUUAAAAUUUCUAUCUGAAUUUGUGAACACACACACACACACACACACACAAAAUCAAGUUUUUGAAAUUCUUGAAAAAGUACAAUAUGUCAUUGUAGUUACAUUUCACAAUUAGGCAUUCAGUUGCUCAUAAGAAUCAAAUCCUUUCUUUGUGUCUAUAAUAAUGUUGCUACACCUCUAUUUUUAUUUGUCUCACAUGAUAUUGCUGCAACUACUUUUGAAUAUCAACUUAAAGGGGUACUCAGGCAAUUUAGCAGUAGUCUACAAUUCUACAAAGUUAGAAAACUUGCGACAGACAGAUUUAAAAAAGAAUAGUCAAAAUUGAUGCAGCAGAGGCCGAGACAUCCUGACCCUAGUAUGGGUCAAGCUCAAAAAAUGCUGAAUCCUACAGUUCCCACAAUGCAUUUCGAUAGCGUCUUUAAUUAGAACUUCCCACCCUAUAAAUGUCCACGUCUUUCAAACUCCAGAGCCCAAACUGGUAACACAGCCUUUCUGUAAAACUUGACUCAAGUCUAAAUCCCAGUCCAACGUAACCCUUCCGACAUCAUCAGGAUUAUUUUCUCAGACUUUAGAAAGCUCCUCCAGAACCACAGAAGAUAUUUUACUGUGUUUGCAGCCUAAAAAGUACUAACCAUGACUAGUAAACGAACCUGUGAUCAUGUGUAAAAAUCAGUGGAGUGCCCAUUUAAUACCUGCUAUAAUGUAGCACUGAAAUGUGUAAUUUCUAUGUAUUUUUAUUUGCUUUAGCAGGAUCCCAGUGUCAUCUUACAUUGAAUGGUGAUAUUAGCUUAAUUCAAGUACUUUCACAGUGUACUAAGUUUUUGACUGGAGUGCCUCCAGUACAUUUCUUAUGAAAGUGGUAAUGCAUGUUAUUAAUGCCAGGCACAAAGCAGUGUUUUCCAAAAUGCACUUCUUUAGUGGGCUUGAAAAUCAGCUGGUUUACCGCAGGAUCAAGUCAGAUAAACACAAUACACGUUGAGUAUUUAAUUUCUUAUUAAUACAACUUACAGGUCAAAUGAAUUUACCAACCAACAAAACCAUGUUGUUUAAAAUCAUUAUUCAAUAAAACAUGUUGACAGAUUAUCACACAAAUAUACUUAACAAACAGCUUAGUCAUUAUAUAUUGAUUAUCGUGCCUUCACAGCAGAAAUCAACUGAUUAAAAGUCAUACAAAUACAGAAAAUGAAAUGCUAUGAGCCUUGUGAGAGAACAUUCUCCAUUACUUAGAUUAGGAGAUGACAACUUCCUCAAGCACAUAAUUAUCCCACAAAUCAUCUUUACAGUUCAGUGAUGCUUUAGAUUUAAGCUCUCCUUUUCAUCAUAGUGUCAUUACAUUCACACAAAUCUCUUUAUUUGAGUAGUUCUGUUGCUACUUUUACUCACCAGCCUCAGUGUCUACCAUAUAGACUGCUGGAUUUGGUUGAGAAAAAGAAACUACCAAAGGCUGAGAUAAAUCAAGAGCAAAAGUCCACCAAUUCUAUGAAAUAUUAUAAACUUCUGCUUGCUAAGUUUUUCUGACCCUGUAACAACAAAAACAGGGAAGCAAUAAUUUAGGGGGGAAAAGGAUCCAGUUUGCACAUAUUCCAAUCAUUUUUUAAUCAGAAUAAUUCACUCAGCAGGAUAUGAACAAUGUAUUUAUUGAAAGUUUGUGGUUUCCAACCAGAUGUUGGCUGGGGUUUUGACCGUUCUUCAUAAUAUAUAAACCCCACACAGCAGGGAGGGACUAUACUUAUUCAUAUAUACAGUGUAUAUGUGGCCUCAUUAAACACUGUCAGAAAUUCAUACUACCUGUCCUCACAGGUGCUUUUUACACACUUGACAUACUUAAUUAUCUGCAGAAAACUUUCUGUCCCACAAACACAUUUAAAAGCAUGUGGAUGCACAGAAUAGAGUAAUCAUUCAUUCUAAUGAUCGAACGCACCGCUUAGAGCGCCGCCAUACAUGAUGAAAAAUCAUGUGAUAUAAUUUUCUCAGAAAUUGAAGAAUUUAGAACAAAUCACCCCAAAGUGGUUAAUUGAAUCUCCAGCAAAUCUUUGAAAGCCCCCACAUCAUUGCACUGUCUCACAUACAUUGUCUCUUGAUGGGCCUCUUUGCUCUCUAUUGAGGUCAGCUUCUAUAAGUGGAGUACAGUUAAGUAUAUAACCUUCACACUAUCUGUAAAGUGGAUCAUUACUAUGACCAUGUUAUUCAUUAUACAGCAGGAGAUGUGACAGGUGGACUGAGAAUAAAGACAGAUUGUUUUACCUUUGCAAUUGAAAUACAACAACUAGAAGAUUUUUCCCUCUUGUAAAAACUUGUUAGCAUUGGAGACCAUUGUGACUGACGUGAAUUUCAGGAGGGGACAGGCCACUGUUCUCUACAAAAGGACGAUACUACCAACAUAAAACCUUUCUAGCCUACAGAGGGUAGAGUAUUUGAGACUAAAAGCAUACAUUUUAGGUGAAGUAUCAACUUAAGGCUGUGAGGAACAGUUUGAUACAAUGUAGGUAAAUUAAAAGUCUUAAUGCUUUAAAGCACAGCUGAACUUUAUGUAUAUGCAGAGGUUUUAUCUACUGACAUUUUCCAAACAGUGCCGUCACUGUGUUUUACAGGGAAAUAUUUUUAGAUCAUCAUGUAAUGUUUCCGUUGGACCUCUGCUUUAAUUUGCUAGGCUGCUUAUGCAAACUACAUUAUGACUGUCGUUUAAGUCAGUCAUAUUACACCAUAAUUCAUGGGUAUGGAAAGGUAAGGGGGUUACCACAUACUUGCGAAGAAGAAACGUUACAUCAAUCUUGUGCAAUUUCUUCUUGCGCUCUACAGCAAUUGAUACUUGUCAUCGAUAAAUGAAUGCCUCUAUAAAAACAAUGAUGACAAACAGCACAGUGUCUUUUCAAAUAACAUGUUGGUCCUUGUAGUCAGGGGAAACAACCAAAACUGAUUUUGGUGUUGGUCUGUUCGUAACAUAAAACGCUCUAACAUUAUGUGACGGUCAUAAUAACAUUCUGUUCUUGUUAGGAAAAAAAAAAAGAAAGAAAAAGAGAUGGCAUUUCCAUCUUGGCUGG